CUCCCCUUCUGAGGAGGGACUCUAGCGCUCCCAGGUCAAUGCUCUAUCCCAACUCUCCACUGUGAGGAAAUGAACCUCAGAUGGCAGGGAAUGACAAGGGGUAUGAAGAAGUAGACUCAAAGGUUCAUCAUUUGAAACCCCAGUUCCUAUUUCUUGCCACUGUCUUGAAAGCUGUAGAGCACUUAGGAGAUGGAGCAUAGCUGGUAGAAGCAGGACACUACCUUAAGCCUAUAAAGGCCAUCUCACUCUUGACUCCUCUCCAUUGUCGACCUGCCGCCUCAGGAUCCCACUGCCAAGGAUGGAAUCAUUCCUACCCACCAUGCCUUGUUCCACAGUGAAGGACUGCAUUCUCUCUGAAACUGUGAGCCAAAAUAAAUCUUUGCUCUCUUCUGA